GCGGCCGUGGUGGAACGGUAGACACCCGCGCUUGAGGGGCGCGCGCCUUGUGCAUCCGAGUUCGAGUCUCGGCGGCCGCACCA
rnacentral:tRNA from 1 species